rnacentral:sRNA from 1 species
GUAUAAGUAUUUUAGUAUUUUUAAGUCUGGACAAUUAACUUAAGUCACAAUGAGUAAAAUCAGGUCAUUAAACCCCCAUGGGCCGAGCGGAUGAGUUACGGCCACAGUCACCUUCUGCGACUGGACCACAAGUGACUUUAAGGGCAAUAACUAUGAUUUGCAAAGGUCAUUUAAGAUUCUGCAGAAAUGUGCACUUAGGUCCUUACAAAAUUUUAAUUCAGAGGUAUUGAUCUUACAACAGGCAGCACGGACUCAGACAUCCUGUCCAUUUAGCAUUUACCCUCCCGUGCCUGGCAAAGGGGAUGCAGAAGGCAAACCACUAAUUGAGUUUCAGGAGUGGCUGGAGCAUCAAGGUGACUUCUAAAAGUCCAUCUGCAGGCAAAUUAUCCUGAUAGCUCUCAUCCGGAUGAUAACCACGGCGGCGUGGGCGAGACCGUGCCUGGCCCCACCCCAGUGCCCAGUGCUGACUCAGAGGCCACAGUCCCAAGGAUCAAGCUCAGAUCCUGAAACACCCGGCACGCACAGGUACCCCAUCUCACAGUACCUCAACCUGAAGCUGAGCUUGAAGCUGCCCAAAGGUGUGGCUGGGGAAACAGAAAACCAAAAAUUGUCUCCAAAAGUAACCUAUUACCAGGGCCACCCCCAAAAGGCCCACGUCGUAGAGUCUGGAUCCCCAGGAGAGCACACCGGGAGGUGGGGGAAUCUUCAGGUCAAUCUUUAGGUGUUCCCUGAGACAUCUUUAGGUUUCCAGGUAUCUUUAGGAUUCUAGUCCUUAAAGAGGACUGUCAGAUCCUGACCUGUCUCCCUUCCCUCCCUUCUCCCAAGCUGUGAAGUAAGCAAUUCUGCUCCACCGUGAACCUCACCCUAGAUAAUAGGACCAAUCCCGAUGGCCCAGGGCAUCUAAAACUGGAAACCAAAACAACCCAAACCUUUGCCUAAGUGAAAGGGAGAGCUCAGACCACUUCGCACACUCCAAGCCUCCAUGACAGCGGCCUCAAACGAGGAGGCCAAAUAAGCCCUCCGACCUGACCUUGUCUUUGCCAGGUAUCCAGACACAACACCAGUAACUAGGGUUGCCGAGAUGACUCAGCAGGAAUUCAGUUAACACCAGGCAUGGGGUGCACGCCUGGAACCCUGAAGCAGGGGAGACACAGCAGCAGGAGGACUCCUUUCUGCUACUACAGUGACAAUAAGACCAAGCCCACAACACAUGCUGUGGAGAGACAGUACUGGGAGUAGCUAGGCAGGUUCCUGGUGCCUGCACCUGCCUGUGAGCUGCACAAGACCCAUCAGGAGAUUUCCCGGCAGAGGAGAGGGAGCAAGAGUAAAACAGAAACAUAAAAUGUGGAGCGGUCCCUUCUCACUGAGUGGUUACAUGUGGGGCCGAGGGAGAAGGAUCGUGGUCCGGAUGCCGCGUGGAAUACUUAGUUCUCAUAACUUGGUAAAUCUCAGAAGCACACAGCCAGGAAGAGAAAGCCGGGAGGGAGGAACUGCAGUCAAUGGGAGACAGGUCUGUCAGGAGAAGUCUGCAGAGCCUGAGACAUGUGCUGCCUCUUUUCAUCCGCCAUGGGUGCACACUGUCCACACACAAGGCAGAUACCGAGGCUGAUGUACCAACUCCUCCAGCUAACUCAGCAGCGGCUGGCAUCACCGAGAGUCAAAACACGGGUUCUGGCUUCCUCGCAAAACCAGAAGCUAGUUCUGCCCAGUGCUGACCCAGAGGGCUGCUCUAAGGUUAGCUAUACCCCGGUGUGGGAAAUCACUUCCCAGCCCCUGUCAAGUCUUCCCUCAACUUAAGUCUUCUGAAAGCACUCAGGAGAUGCUAAGAGCAGAGCAUGCUGGGAAGUCGGGUGCACUCUCUAGGACCAACACAUAAAACCAGUCUUGGGAAGAACCUAGCAGGGUGAGGAAGAGCCUUAGGGAACACAACUCCCAACCAUUAACACAAGUCGGCACCCAGGGAUGAGGACGGGUCAUCUCCAGUCUGAAGGCUUCAAUCCCGGAAAGGAAGGAUGCAGGUGGCGUUAGCCACUGGCACUGUAAGAGCUAAGGGCUCAGUUAACCCCGGCUGCACAGAGAGGUCUGGGUGGGGCACCACCCGCUACAGAGACCACAGGACUGCAUGCGUUUAGAGAAGGGGGGCUCAGCUCGUCACCUCAGAAGAGUCCUGAGUGCGGAGUGAUUUCAUAGGCCACACCACAGGCUCGCUUCCCAGGUACACACGGGGUUUCUCGUACAUUAUUAAAAGUAGCAGCCUGUGGCUACGCUACGCUUCAGCCCCAGAGCUCAUUAGCUUGAGUGAAUCUCCACGACCGCAGUGGAGCCAUAAAGGAGCAGUCGUCCUCCACCGUAUAAAUUGAUAACUUUCUUCCUGUUUUAUGGCUCCGUUUAUGUCCACUUUAUAAGGUUUUGCGUUUUACUGACCAGGUUUCAGCGUGUGCGCUCCGCUUACCCUGGGGGUGUGGCCGAGUAGAUUUGAAUCUUCCAGGAAGUUUUGCUCUCUGCCUCUCUUUUGCACUAAACCUGGGCUAAGAAAUUAGAAAUAACAACCACCACCGCUACCCCACCCACCACCCUGCCAAGCAAGCUCUUUAUGUAGGCACAGGCACGCAACCUGUUCAAGGCCAUUCAAUACGGAAGAGACUCUGGGAGAACUUCGGGGCCAUGGAUGUGUGGAGAAACUAGAUCUACAGAAGUGUGGGAGCAAAUAAGUAAACCAUGGGCCAAUGGGAUGACUCGGUGGCCAACGCACCAAGCCUCAGGACUUGAGUUCAAUCCCCAGCACCCACGAGGGAGGAGGAGAAAAACUAAUUUAUCUUCUGACCACCACACAGGCACUGGGGCGUGCUGUCCGGGAGUGCACACGCAAAAUACUUACACAAAUAAGUGGGAACGUCUGCGUAAGUAAGAUGCAAAGUGACAAAAUUAGCUUGAUAAUAAAAGUGUCUAAUUACUCAAGGUGAAGCACUGGGAGAAAUGCCAGAGAAACCCGGAACCACCAAUCAAGUUCUGAGGCAAAUAAACACUCAAGCCAAUUAACUAUCUAGCGAUGCUUAAACUUAAAGAUCAAGUAUGUGACCGCGAUAAAUGGGAGAGGGGACUAAUUUCUAGGUUACUUUUCCCUUUGUUUGUUUGUUUUUGUUUGUUUGUUUCUGACAGGGUCUCCGUUAAGUCAGACUGGCCUUGAUCUGCUCCUCCUGCCUCAGCUUCCCAAGUGCUGGGUUACAGAGAGUUUACAGGCCACCAUGCCCAGCCCCUUCAUCUUGAUUUCUUGGUCAAUGUCCGUUGUCAACUCUCUUUCCUAAUAAUGCACACGGUAAGCACGCCACGAAGAGACUGAUCCGUGGGAAAAAUGGAAGACCGAAUAAUAACAGUAACAAUCAUAACCACAAAUAAUAAAAACUAAACAACAUGACCUUGACAGAAAACCUUCCAUGUGUCCUGAGCUGUGUGAGAUGUCAUUCCCCGUUGUCAUGGAAACAGACGUGGUACAGAAAUUAUACAAACGAGUCAGGUCCCAACCUCAAACACACACACACAAAAGUCCGGGCACAUGGAAGACUUCAAUAAAAGUAACCAUUUGACAUUUUCAGCAGAAAAUGUCUCUAACUAACAAGAAAAUAUCUAACUCCUGCCACAUUAAAAUAAGAAUUCCUUGGGAGGCGCUGGAGAGAUGGCUCAACGGUGAA